rnacentral:rRNA from 1 species
CGCGUAGGCGGCUUUAUAAGUCGGGGGUGAAAGCCUGCGGCUCAACCACAGAAUUGCCUUCGAUACUGUAGAGCUUGAGACCGGAAGAGGUAAGUGGAACUGCGAGUGUAGAGGUGAAAUUCGUAGAUAUUCGCAAGAACACCAGUGGCGAAGGCGGCUUACUGGUCCGGUUCUGACGCUGAGGCGCGAAAGCGUGGGGAGCAAACA